CUGGGGCUGACUUUUCUCUCUUUUUUACUUUAGGUAAUUAAGAAUCCAGUAUCAGAUCACUUUCCAGUUGGAUGUAUGAAAGUUGGCACUUCUUUUUCCAUCCCGGUUGUCAGUGAUGUGCGUGAGCUGGUGCCCAGCAGUGAUCCUAUUGUUUUUGUGGUAGGGGCCUUUGCCCAUGGCAAGGUCAGUGUGGAGUAUACAGAGAAGAUGGUGUCCAUCAGUAACUACCCCCUUUCUGCUGCCCUCACCUGUGCAAAACUUACCACAGCCUUUGAGGAAGUAUGGGGGGUCAUUUGACAGUAGUAGAACCUGUUCUGAAACCAGAAACUGUUGAUGUCACAUCCUUUGACCCUGGUCUGAGCUGACUGCUGGAAGAUGAUCUUUCUGCACUGAGACUGUGGAGUUUGGGGAAGCCAAGGCUGUACAUUUGCUAUUUGUUUAUCCUAUGAAUACUGUUCUUGCAAACCUGGUUGUUUUGGGGUUCCUAAAGUAUCCAGUGGUGUAAAACUGUUUGUUCCCCGGGACUUCAGGGACAGAUAGGAGGUUACAGAGUUUGCAGUUUGGUUCCAUGCUUUGAAGGCAGGCUUUAGCUCCCAGAUUCCCAUGUGCUAAAGGAGAGAACCCUGAUGAUGGAGAAGAACUGUGAAAGAGAGCAGUCAGGAAUGCUAGUGGUGAAAAACUGAACAAACAGAAGUGAUUUUAUCUAAUACAGUUCCAAGGUAGAAAAAGUGGAGCAGGCAGGGCCUUGCACCCCUCUCCACCCCCCCAUGGGGGGGGUGGUGGUAGCGGCACAUACACAAUCAUAGUAAAUUGGCAGAAGAAAAACACAAUAGAUUCCUGGCUAGAUGGGGAGAGAUAAGGCAAUGUGCAUGGGGGAAUCAGAGGGGAGAUGUGAGCCCCUCUGCUCCUCCCACAAGAGUUUCCCCUUUGGGCCGGGCACGGUGGCUCACGCCUGUAAUCCCAGCACUUUGGGAGGCGGAGGCGGGUGGAUCACUUGCGGUCAGGAGUUCGAGACCAGCCUGGCCAACGUGGUGAAAUCCCGUUUCUACUGAAAAUACAAAAAUUAGCUGGGCAUGGUGGCGUGCCUGUAUUCCCAGCUACUUGGGAGGCUGAGGCAGGAAAAUCACUUGAACCCAGGAGGUGGAGGUUGCGGUGAGCUGAGAUCCCGCCACUGCAUUCCAGCGUGGGUGACAAAGCAAGACGCCUUCUCCAAAAAAAAGUUUCCCCUUUGGCCCCAAAUGAAGACUUGGCUGGCAGCAGAGGCACAGCUGGAAGCAUCGAUCUUCCACCUCCCUGGCUUUUCCAUUCUCUGCUCUGGGGCAAAGGAGUGCUGUGAAAAGGGAGACGAGUAGUUUCUGCACCAGUCCCGCACAGGCCACCUGCAAGACAAGAGGAGUUUGGAAGGCUGGUUAGUUACUCCUGUAAUUCCUGGUCUAUAGCCCUUCCAGAUGUUUCCUAGCAUGCCUCAAUAAGUCACAGUAGUCAUUGCCCAUACUGUG
rnacentral:lncRNA from 10 species